GCUGAGCACGGUGGCACAUGCCUGUAGUCCCAGCUACUUGGGAGGCUGAGGUGGGAGGAUCGCUUGAGCCCAGGAGUUCUGGGCUAUAGUUCGCUAUGCUGAUCAGGUGUCUGCACUAAGUUCAGCAUCAAUAUGGUGACCUUCCCGGAGCAGGGAACCACCAGGUUGCCUAAGGAGGGGUGAUCUGGCCCAGGUCGGAAACGGAGCGGGUCAAAACUCCCGUGCUGAUCAGCAGUGGGGUUGUGUCUGUGAAUAGCCACUGUACUCCAGCCUGGGAAACACAGUGAGACCCUGUCUCU
rnacentral:SRP_RNA from 1 species